rnacentral:lncRNA from 1 species
UUGGCCCUUUUCUCUUUUGGAGUAAAAUGCUGACGGAGGCCAUUUUUAUUAAGUAGAUGACAUGAGAGAAUCCAAAAGAAAUGAAUGGGAAUAGACUAUCUUGGGAGUGCAUUAGGUUCGCGACUGGAAUUGGAAUCGGAAAUAAAAUGGAAAUCAAAAUGGCCAUAUCUUUGAUAUAUUUAGUUCGUAUUCGAAAUAUAAUUUAAAUAUUUGAGGAGAGUAAUAAUUGAGUUUUG